GUUUAGUAUCUUGUCGUUGCUAGUAAUUGCUGUAGUGGUUGUGAAAGAACCCCAAAGAGCUAACCGUGAAAACACUACAAUGGCGCCCAACGUGGGGCACAGUGAAACUUGUGUUUAACGGUUAGGCUAGUUGCAAAAUCAAUCGGCAUCGCAUAAUUUAUAUGUUUAUAUAUACCACUGAUCACGCGACCUCGAAAACAGACAAUAUAUAUUCACGUCUAGACGGCUUGUAGCGUAUCAGACGCCUAGCAUGUCUAAAAAUAGACUGCUCUACCUGAGCAGACGAUUAGAAUAGGCCACUGAAUAUUGAAAUGUAUUUAAACAACAAACAAGACAAAUACUCUGAUGUUUUACUGAAAACUCUAUCCUAUUCGCGGUGUUGAUAAUGUACAUGUAUUACGGGGUACGCGGAGUAUAAAAGUAAAUAGUUAUUUUAAAACAUUUUGAGAAAAUUAAAUUAAUUGUUUUGAAUAGGUAUAUGUCCUAUUGUUUUAUUUUUAACUCUGGUUUUUAUCACAAUGAUGGAAUUACAAAAUUGAAAUUAAUCUGAGUAGUGCUCUGCGAAAAGGGGUUUUAAUGCAUGAGCGUAAGGCAUCGUCCCAGAUUAGCUGGUGCCGUCCACAUUAAACUUCCUGUAAUUUUCCAUUAUAUGACAGAGGUUUAAGGUGCUUUGCACAUUCACGGAUGUGUUUAUUUCCCGUGAAGUGGGUCUUUUUCCAUUAAAAGGCCUAGGAAAUAUUCCUGCUGUGGCAGAUGAGUUUUUUUCGGUACAGCUCUUCCUUCUUUUUGAGAGGUUCCCGUACAUUCACGGAUGUUUUUGUAUUUUCUUAUUAAUUCCAGUCUUUUCCUGGUGGUCGUAUGUGACAGUGCUUAGCGACCACUGUUACACCACACCACUGGAUGGAGUAACUAUUGUUGUGGUCCGCGAACAUUCGCCAUUGUUUUGGUACGGGAAAAUACGGGAAAUUUGUACACAAAUACUUGGGUGUUUCCUGCAACAUACCCAUCUUGGCAUCUCCGUCAUCUUUUGUUCUUCCAUGUUAAAAUUCGUGAAUCGAUCUUACUUAAAUCACUUCGUCAUUUCUGUAUCAUGUCAUUUAUUUUAGUAACUUCUGUAAAUGAAUAAAUUCACCAACAAUAUGCUUAAGCAAUGUUCUAGAAUUUUGUCGCAUGAGUUUGUUUCUUAUAGGUGACAGUGCUUGACGACCACUGUCACACUCCAUACUUAAAAAGGAAAAAAAAAUAUUAAAAAAAAAAAAAAUUAUAACAGGGCCGGAAGUGGUAUUUCCCGGAGUUUUUCUUUUAAACAAUAUUUUUCCUGUCUUUUUAAAUUUUUAUGUUACCGUGUUUGACGGCAACUGUCUGGUAGCUUCACUUUGAUUUCUUGAAUGACCGGAGAUGUUUCCCGGUGCAUGUACACUUUAAUUUUGGUUUCAUUUUUGUAAAGUACAUUAUUUCUGAGUGUGAUCUCCACAUUCUAAUACAUAAGUGACUGUACUUGUUGGACGAAAGCCAACAAGAAUGUUUUUUCUUGAUUAAUUAAUUGUCGGACGAUAGCCGACAUUAAUUUUUUUUAUUUUUAAUUAUCUAAUGUGAUUGAAUUUUAAAUAUGCAAGAAACAUAUUGGUCACUGACCGCUAGAAUGCAGCGGUCUGUAUGUACCCCGCUGUGCAAGGGCACUCCUGUGCCUGCGGGAAGGGGGAAAUCAUGGUCCCAUUUAAGUCUCUGUCUCGGUGUAUACCCCGCUUGGCAAGGGCACUCCUGUGCCUGCGGGAAGGGGGAAAUCAUGGUCCCAUCUGAGUCUCUGUCUCUGUGUAUACCCCGCUGGGCAAGGGCACUCCUGUGCCUGCGGGAAGGGGGAAAUCAUGGUCCCAUUUGAGUCUCUGUCUCUUCUGCCUUGGGUGCGACCGUACGAUUACCAUGGGGCGGCGGCCCAAGAGGAGAAAAGUGGGAAGAGUGUAGUGCCGGGCACCAGUCGACUAUGUGCAACCUCCAUUGAACUACGCGUAUAUGUUAGUGGAUGUUGGCCGAGCUCCACGAGAAGCGGGUCCGGGAUUCUCGUGGAUGGGAGAGUGCAGCCGAACACCCCUUCCUAGACCAGACGCUCACGAGUGAGGACGUGUUGAACUGUUGUGCACAUUAAAGAAGCCGGGAAACGUAUCGCAUCGAUGGAUUCAGAUCUAAUAACGGUCGAGGAAGUGGAGUCUUCCUUUGAUGAGGAGUUGCUGUUAGAGCCAGAAGAUGAUGGUUUCACCUGUGGUCGCACCUGAUUUCUUUUUUUUUUUCUUCUUUUUUAUGUUUGACUUGUUUUCUUAUUUUGGGAGGUCCCCGCUGUUGAGCUACGCCAUUUUUUUAUGUAAUCCCAAAAUUGCUGAAAUAUCCAUUAUAUAAAUUCAAAAACAAAUGUUAAUGAAUAAAACGAAUUCAUCUUAAUAAUGUAAUAUAAAGACUCAUACAAUUAAAAAAAAAAUAAUGCACAAAGCAUGUGCUAUCAGACAUUGUCUAAUUUCCAGAAUACGUACCGCAAAAAGAUUUGGCAGUGAGGGUGGGAGUAUUGUUAUUGCAGAAUUUGCACAUUUUUAGCAAUUGUAAACAUUCAUAUUAUCGUAAUGUAUACACAUAUAUCCAAUUCCUCUGGGAAGUAACCACUUUCGCCAAAUCAUACAAAUGUAAAGAUUCAUACAAAAAUUAAGACUCAUACAAAUAUAGAGACUCGUAUAAUUUAGAAUUAUAAAUAUAACACAACACAUUAAUAGUAUAUCAAACAUUGGUCCUUUUUAUUCACCGCAUGUGGUGGGGCUGGCAGCUAGGAAUGUGGGAAUGAUAAAAGACGCAAGCACAAGGGAUGUGCUCACAGCCACUGUGUCAAACAGUAAAUAAUACAUAUAACACAACACAUUAAUAGUAUAUCAAACAGUAAAUGGAUGAAAACAAAAGUCCAUAAAUAAAUAAUAAUUUAUUAAUGUAUGUAUACCUGUUAUUUACCCAAGUUAUUAAGUCAUUUUUCGGGGCAGGAAAAGUAAAUAUGCGCCUCCUGUCAAUACUACAUGGAUUGAUUAUCUUUUCUUUCUUUCUGGAAGAACUGCAUGUUUUGAUCCUUCACUGUACGGGGUUAAAGGGAGAUCAGGAUGGCAGGGAAGUUAAUAUGCGCCUCCUAUCAGUACUACAUGGAUUAAUUAUCUUUUCUUUAAUAAUAAUGGGAAAUUUGUACCGCCUGUCCCAAAAUUUGUCCCUGACCCGUAGUAGAUUAGCAUUUUUGAUGGCUCUGGGAGUCCGGCUAUCGUCCCUCCCAGAUUGGAGCUGCGGAGGCUAUUGCAAAAUUCACGGGGAAAGAUGGAAAUCCCCCUGUUGUGUCUGGUCAGGCCAAAGAUAACCCCUUAGUUACUAAUAACCCAUCGGCCAUCAGUAUUCCUCCUGUCCCAGCAGUGAUGACCAUCACAAGUAAAUAGAAAUUCUUCCGUCGCCUUCGACAUCGGCCACUUGAACGUAUUCCUUUUUGUUAUAGAUGAUGUGCUUUGUAAACAGCUGACUGUACAGAUUUACACACUGGUCACAGAAUAACCCACACUGUAGAACUCUGUCUCUGUUAAAGAAUCAUUGCUGAGAGUAAUGUAAUGUAGAAAUAAUGUAAACAAUAAUGUUAAUUCUGUAUAUAAAAAAAUGUUAGUGACCCCAGUUAAAAUAAAAAUAAUAAAUAAAACAUUAAUAUAUAUUAAGUAUUCAUCAUUAAAUAUUUAGCUAAUAAAGGUCAGGUUAUAAUAUAAUACAUAGAACUAUUCCUCUAGUUACAGAAGGACUACAGCCUUUGGUUUUUCCUUUCUGGGAGAAGCUAUUGACCUAGAGUUUGCCCUCUAGUUUCAGAACAAAACAGCUUCUUUGUUUAUAUUUAUUACAGAUGCUAUGGCUUUAUUUCACUGAGACUAAAAUCUUCCUGUUUCGUAGGUCGACGUCCAGAGCACAGAAACAGUCUCUACCUCUGUUCUAAACUCUGCUAUAUAACCGACUGAGUUAUUUCCGCGUCUUGAGUUUGAGCGGUAUUCCAAAUUGAACAAAUGGUCGGACGAAGAGAACGCAGAACAGCCUCUGUUUUUCCUUGUGUAGGAUCUCCACUAACCUUCUGCCAUCUGAGUAAACAACUACAAACUUCAACUUUUUCCAGCAAAACAAAUAGGUUUUUCCUUCAGUGCAACGGGCGCAUUAAUGAGUUUAACUCUUGCUGCAAAAUCAUUCUCCGCGUACUUUAGGUAAUAUUCAUUUAUUGUAUGGAGGUAGUAUAUGUGGAGUUCAUAUUAGGUAUUUGGGCAUAAUGUAUGAUAUAAAAUAUAUCUCCCAGGAAACAAUCAUCAAUCAUUUAUUAAUGAAUUCAUUCAAUGAACUUUGUCUUCAUUCGUCCAUUAAAAUUUUCAACAUUACUCUAGAACUUAUUUUCAUAUCAACUAUGCUUUUACUAUAACUACAACUAUAGUAACUACUACUAUAGCAAAACUUUUACUACUACUUCUACUACUGUUGCUGCUGCUGCUGCUUUUGGUGUUGCUGCUGGAGUGUACCCUUACUUUGGAAACCGUUUUGGUGCGGUGUGAUGUUGAGUUAUUAGAUACCAAUAACAACAUUACCGAGCAAAAGUCAGUUGACUUAUUUACGCAAAGGGGGCCUCUAGGUAUACAGACACCGACAUAAAUGCCUUUCGUCCGAUCUCUCUUUCUGCGCGACGUCUGCAGUAUACCACAACUAAAAUUAAUUCAUCUCCAUUAAAUGUCAAUAAACCCCUUUCUAUAAUCAUAGAAUAAUAACCCACAAUUGGUUAUGCCUUGGUGCAAAUAGGCUUGCUUACAAAAUGCAAAGACAUAAUAAACAAAAAAAAACAGUGUCAGUGAAUGGCUAAUUUUCACAACUAUGAAACUAUACGCUUUAACCAUAAAGCCAUAAUUAAAUGAAAUCAAUGGUCAUUGUGACUGCCUUUAAUUUGAUUAUGCAUAUAAGCCUACAAAU